rnacentral:rRNA from 1 species
GGUUAAGCGACUAAGCGUACACGGUGGAUGCCCUGGCAGUCAGAGGCGAUGAAGGACGUGCUAAUCUGCGAAAAGCGUCGGUAAGGUGAUAUGAACCGUUAUAACCGGCGAUGUCCGAAUGGGGAAACCCAGUGCAAUUCGUUGCACUAUCGUUAACUGAAUACAUAGGUUAACGAGGCGAACCGGGGGAACUGAAACAUCUAAGUACCCCGAGGAAAAGAAAUCAACCGAGAUUCCCUCAGUAGCGGCGAGCGAACGGGGAGCAGCCCAGAGUCUGAAUCAGCUUGUGUGUUAGUGGAACGGUCUGGAAAGUCCGACGGUACAGGGUGAUAGUCCCGUACACCAAAAUGCACAGGUUGUGAACUCGAAGAGUAGGGCGGGACACGUGGUAUCCUGUCUGAAUAUGGGGGGACCAUCCUCCAAGGCUAAAUACUCCUGACUGACCGAUAGUGAACCAGUACCGUGAGGGAAAGGCGAAAAGAACCCCGGCGAGGGGAGUGAAAAAGAACCUGAAACCGUGUACGUACAAGCAGUGGGAGCACCUUCGGGUGUGACUGCGUACCUUUUGUAUAAUGGGUCAGCGACUUAUAUUCUGUAGCAAGGUUAACCGUAUAGGGGAGCCGCAGGGAAACCGAGUCUUAACUGGGCGUUAAGUUGCAGGGUAUAGACCCGAAACCCGGUGAUCUAGCCAUGGGCAGGUUGAAGGUUGGGUAACACUAACUGGAGGACCGAACCGACUAAUGUUGAAAAAUUAGCGGAUGACUUGUGGCUGGGGGUGAAAGGCCAAUCAAACCGGGAGAUAGCUGGUUCUCCCCGAAAGCUAUUUAGGUAGCGCCUCGUGAAUUCAUCUUCGGGGGUAGAGCACUGUUUCGGCUAGGGGUCAUCCCGACUUACCAACCCGAUGCAAACUACGAAUACCGAAGAAUGUUAUCACGGGAGACACACGGCGGGUGCUAACGUCCGUCGUGAAGAGGGAAACAACCCAGACCGCCAGCUAAGGUCCCAAAGUCAUGGUUAAGUGGGAAACGAUGUGGGAAGGCACAGACAGCCAGGAUGUUGGCUUAGAAGCAGCCAUCAUUUAAAGAAAGCGUAAUAGCUCACUGGUCGAGUCGGCCUGCGCGGAAGAUGUAACGGGGCUAAACCAUGCACCGAAGCUGCGGCAGCGACACUAUGUGUUGUUGGGUAGGGGAGCGUUCUGUAAGCCUGCGAAGGUGUGCUGUGAGGCAUGCUGGAGGUAUCAGAAGUGCGAAUGCUGACAUAAGUAACGAUAAAGCGGGUGAAAAGCCCGCUCGCCGGAAGACCAAGGGUUCCUGUCCAACGUUAAUCGGGGCAGGGUGAGUCGACCCCUAAGGCGAGGCCGAAAGGCGUAGUCGAUGGGAAACAGGUUAAUAUUCCUGUACUUGGUGUUACUGCGAAGGGGGACGGAGAAGGCUAUGUUAGCCGGGCGACGGUUGUCCCGGUUUAAGCAUGUAGGCUGGUUAUCCAGGCAAAUCCGGAUAAUCAAGGCUGAGGUGUGAUGACGAGGCACUACGGUGCUGAAGUAACAAAUGCCCUGCUUCCAGGAAAAGCCUCUAAGCAUCAGGUAACAUUAAAUCGUACCCCAAACCGACACAGGUGGUCAGGUAGAGAAUACCAAGGCGCUUGAGAGAACUCGGGUGAAGGAACUAGGCAAAAUGGUGCCGUAACUUCGGGAGAAGGCACGCUGGUGUGUAGGUGAAGUCCCUGCGGAUGGAGCUGAGACCAGUCGAAGAUACCAGCUGGCUGCAACUGUUUAUUAAAAACACAGCACUGUGCAAACACGAAAGUGGACGUAUACGGUGUGACGCCUGCCCGGUGCCGGAAGGUUAAUUGAUGGGGUUAUCCGUAAGGAGAAGCUCUUGAUCGAAGCCCCGGUAAACGGCGGCCGUAACUAUAACGGUCCUAAGGUAGCGAAAUUCCUUGUCGGGUAAGUUCCGACCUGCACGAAUGGCGUAAUGAUGGCCAGGCUGUCUCCACCCGAGACUCAGUGAAAUUGAACUCGCUGUGAAGAUGCAGUGUACCCGCGGCAAGACGGAAAGACCCCGUGAACCUUUACUAUAGCUUGACACUGAACAUUGAGCCUUGAUGUGUAGGAUAGGUGGGAGGCUUUGAAGCGUGGACGCCAGUCUGCGUGGAGCCAACCUUGAAAUACCACCCUUUAAUGUUUGAUGUUCUAACGUUGGCCCCUUACCGGGGUUGCGGACAGUGUCUGGUGGGUAGUUUGACUGGGGCGGUCUCCUCCCAAAGCGUAACGGAGGAGCACGAAGGUUAGCUAAUCCUGGUCGGACAUCAGGAGGUUAGUGCAAUGGCAUAAGCUAGCUUGACUGCGAGCGUGACGGCGCGAGCAGGUGCGAAAGCAGGUCAUAGUGAUCCGGUGGUUCUGAAUGGAAGGGCCAUCGCUCAACGGAUAAAAGGUACUCCGGGGAUAACAGGCUGAUACCGCCCAAGAGUUCAUAUCGACGGCGGUGUUUGGCACCUCGAUGUCGGCUCAUCACAUCCUGGGGCUGAAGUAGGUCCCAAGGGUAUGGCUGUUCGCCAUUUAAAGUGGUACGCGAGCUGGGUUUAGAACGUCGUGAGACAGUUCGGUCCCUAUCUGCCGUGGGCGCUGGAGAAUUGAGGGGGCUGCUCCUAGUACGAGAGGACCGGAGUGGACGCAUCACUGGUGUUCGGGUUGUCAUGCCAAUGGCACUGCCCGGUAGCUAAAUGCGGAAGAGAUAAGUGCUGAAAGCAUCUAAGCACGAAACUUGCCCCGAGAUGAGUUCUCCCUGAGACUUUAAGUCUCCUGAAGGAACGUUGAAGACGACGACGUUGAUAGGCCGGGUGUGUAAGCGCAGCGAUGCGUUGAGCUAACCGGUACUAAUGAACCGUGAGGCUUAACCUU